rnacentral:rRNA from 1 species
UACGAAGGGGGCUAGCGUUGCUCGGAAUCACUGGGCGUAAAGGGUGCGUAGGCGGGUCUUUAAGUCAGGGGUGAAAUCCUGGAGCUCAACUCCAGAACUGCCUUUGAUACUGAAGAUCUUGAGUUCGGGAGAGGUGAGUGGAACUGCGAGUGUAGAGGUGAAAUUCGUAGAUAUUCGCAAGAACACCAGUGGCGAAGGCGGCUCACUGGCCCGAUACUGACGCUGAGGCACGAAAGCGUGGGGAGCAAACAG